UACAGAGGUCCCAAGCGUUGUUCGGAUUCACUGGGCGUAAAGCGCACGUAGGCGGUUCGUUAAGUCGGAUGUGAAAGCCCUCGGCUCAACUGAGGAAGUGCACCCGAAACUGGCGAGCUUGAGUACGAAAGAGGAUCGCGGAAUUCCCGGUGUAGAGGUGAAAUUCGUAGAUAUCGGGAGGAACACCGGUGGCGAAGGCGGCGAUCUGGGUCGAUACUGACGCUGAGGUGCGAAAGCGUGGGGAGCAAACAGG
rnacentral:rRNA from 1 species